AGAAAUAGAAGUGGUUUAAGGUGAGCUAAUAUUAUAGUUUAAAUUAAAGGCACUAUUUCCACUUAUUAUAUUGUUAAACACUCAUUAUUAUGUCUAUAUUUGUACUAUAAAAUUAUCUAGAUGCAUUGGAUGGUACCCAUAUUGAAGUAUGAGUUUCAGAGAAAGACAGAUCUAGAUAUCGAUCAAGAAAGAAUGAGAUUUCUACAAAUGUACUUGGUGUGUGCUCACAGGAUAACCUUGAUGGGAGGGG
rnacentral:lncRNA from 1 species